GUAGAGCACUGAAUGUCCUAGGGGGUAUUGCACUUACCGAAGACUAUCAAACUCCGAAUGCCGUUUUCUUUUACUUGGGAGUCAGACUGUGGGUGAUAAGAUUCAUAGUCAAAAGGGCAACAGCCCAGAUCGUCAGCUAAGGUCCCUAAAUGUACGUUAAGUGGUAAAGGAUGUGGGAUUGCACAGACAACCAGGAUGUUGGCUUAGAAGCAGCCACUCAUUUAAAGAGUGCGUAAUAGCUCACUGGUCGAGUGAUCCUGCGCCGAAAAUUUCCGGGGCUAAAACGUACUACCGAAGCUACGGCAUCAUUUAUGAUGGGUAGGGGAGCUUCGUAUGCAGGCUGAAGCAUGACCGUAAGGACAUGUGGACAGUAUACGAGUGAGAAUGUUGGCAUGAGUAGCGAGACGUGGGUGAGAAUCCCACGGGCCGUAAACCCAAGGUUUCCAGGGGAAGGUUCGUCCGCCCUGGGUUAGUCGGGACCUAAGCCGAGGCCGAAAGGCGUAGGUGAUGGACAACAGGUUGAUAUUCCUGUACCGCCAAUAAGCGUUUGAGAGAUGGAGUGACACAGUAGGAUAAGCUAACCGUACUGUUGGUUAUGUACGGCUAAGCAUUGAGGCAGUCUAAAUAGGCAAAUCCGUUUAGACAAUGCUAGGAUGUGAUGGGGAAGCCCUUCGGGGCGAAGUAGCUGAUUUCACACUGUCAAGAAAAGCUUCUAUCGAGUUUAAAGGCGCCCGUACCGUAAACCGACACAGGUGGGUGAGGAGAGUAUCCUAAGGCCAGCGAGAGAACUAUUGUUAAGGAACUCGGCAAAAUGACCCCGUAACUUAGGGAGAAGGGGUGCCUGUCUAUGACAGGCCGCAGAGAAUAGGCCCAAGCGACUGUUUACCAAAAACACAGGUUUCUGCUAAGUCGCAAGACGAUGUAUAGGAGCUGACGCCUGCCCGGUGCUGGAAGGUUAAGGGGAUCUGUUAGAGCAAUCGAAGCAGUGAACUUAAGCCCCAGUAAACGGCGGCCGUAACUAUAACGGUCCUAAGGUAGCGAAAUUCCUUGUCGGGUAAGUUCCGACCC
rnacentral:rRNA from 1 species